rnacentral:rRNA from 1 species
GAAAGGAAGAUUAAUACAAGAUGGCAUCAUGAGUUCACAUGUUCACAUGAUUAAAGGUAUUCCGGUAGACGAUGGGGAUGCGUUCCAUUAGAUAGUAGGCGGGGUAACGGCCCACCUAGUCUUCGAUGGAUAGGGGUUCUGAGAGGAAGGUCCCCCACAUUGGAACUGAGACACGGUCCAAACUCCUACGGGAGGCAGCAGUGAGGAAUAUUGGUCAAUGGGCGAGAGCCUGAACCAGCCAAGUAGCGUGAAGGAUGACUGCCCUAUGGGUUGUAAACUUCUUUUAUAAAGGAAUAAAGUCGGGUAUGGAUACCCGUUUGCAUGUACUUUAUGAAUAAGGAUCGGCUAACUCCGUGCCAGCAGCCGCGGUAAUACGGAGGAUCCGAGCGUUAUCCGGAUUUAUUGGGUUUAAAGGGAGCGUAGAUGGAUGUUUAAGUCAGUUGUGAAAGUUUGCGGCUCAACCGUAAAAUUGCAGUUGAUACUGGAUAUCUUGAGUGCAGUUGAGGCAGGCGGAAUUCGUGGUGUAGCGGUGAAAUGCUUAGAUAUCACGAAGAACUCCGAUUGCGAAGGCAGCCUGCUAAGCUGCAACUGACAUUGAGGCUCGAAAGUGUGGGUAUCAAACAGGAUUAGAUACCCUGGUAGUCCACACGGUAAACGAUGAAUACUCGCUGUUUGCGAUAUACUGCAAGCG